CUUAGGAUGUGCUUCUAUCAUCUGACAUAACUGAAAGCAUGUCCUGGAGUAACCCCUGAUAACACAGGACUAUUCUCUUCUGAAUCAGAGUCCUAACCUGCGGUAGAGGAUGAGGAAUUAUCCCAGGAUGAAAUAAUGUGACCGGGAAUCCCAUUUCCCUUUCAAGUUCAAAAUGUUCCCCUGAAACAAUGUUUUUCCAACCUGGUAAUCGGGAAUGAACAAUCUCUGUCCUGGGCUGACAGGGCUGAGAGAUGUAAAAGCAGCCAAAGAAUUCUGGUCCAUUCAGACCUUUACAACUCCCUAGAGAGAAAAGGGGGUUAAUAGUUGUUUCCUGUUCUAUUUUUAAAGAUGGCUUUAAAAAGACAAGAGAAAGCUAAAUUUAGCAAGUUUUUUAAGUGAGAAGGAUCCACUAAGGAAGUACACAAGGCCAUGUGAGAUUCCACUCUGGGUAUCUGCAUCAACAGCAGGGACGUGACCUCGAGGCUUAGGUCACUUCUCUCCCCAGAGAUGGUAUUUAAGGGGCCCUCGGUGGAGGCAGGCAUCAGACCCUCUUCACCUCCUGAGUCUCCCUGCUCACCUCUCCUCUCUACUCAGAGUCCUCUCUACCGACACCAUGGGCUGCUGUGGUUGUGGAAGUUGUGGCGGCUGCGGCGGGGGCUGCGGCGGGGGCUGCGGCGGCUGCGGCGGCAGCUGUGGCGGCGGCUGCGGUGGCGGCUGCGGCGGCAGCUGCGGCGGCUGCAACAGCUGCAGGUGCUACCGGGUGGGCUGCUGCACCAGCUGCUGCCCCUGCUGCUACGGCUGCUGCGGGGGCUGCUGCAGCGUCCCCGUGGUCUGCUGCCACCGCCGCACCUGCAGCUGCAACUCGUGUGGCUGCGGCGGUGGGAAGGGCUGUUGCCAGCAGAAGGGCUGCUGUCAGCAGAAGUGCAGCUGCCACAAGCAGUGCUGCCACUAGACGGGCUGCUCUUCGGGUGCUGCUGGUACCCAUCCUGUUGGUAAGAUUUCCCACCUUCUCACCCGUUUUUCCUCUACUUUAUGGUCCUGGACCCUCUUCCUGGCUUUCUUUGGUACCACAAAUCCCUUCAUCUGGAAAGUUUCCCAUCUAAAAAGGAAACAUCUAAUGGAAAAAUUCUGUGUGCAGCCCAGUACCUGAGUGAUUGUGCACAUCAGUAAACUCAGCCGAACGAAAUCUUGAUUCCUAAUGUUUGGUUUGGUGGAUGUGAAUACAUCCAGCUGAAUAGCACCAUGCGGCUCCUUCCUUGAUCUACUUUUCCCUGCCUGCAGGCAUGGUUUUCUUUUUUCCCUUUUGUGUUCUUAGUUAUCCCAUAAUGUUGUCCAAAUUUCCUAAUAAAAUAAAAACUAGAUACCCAUAAGAAACCAGUCUUUUGUCUUCAUUGUGUUUUGAUCACACUGAUUCCUGGUUUGUCUGUUCUGAAACUUUGGAGAGAAUUAGUCUUUGAACAAAGCCUUCAACUCCCUCGCAGUGGCAGCAUCGCAAGCAAAGGUCAUAUAAGAAGUUCUGCCAGGUCUAGGGGGACCAACCUCUCUUCCCAGUGAAACAUCACUUUGCCUCCGUGACCCCUCCCUCCCUUACACCCUAAUGUGUCGACUCCUCCGUUUUAUUGAUGCAAACUGACAUGGCCCAUCUGCAGCUGCUCUGCAAGCCAAGCACGGCCACUCUCUUCAGGACCCA
rnacentral:lncRNA from 1 species